ACUCCUACGGGAGGCAGCAGUGGGGAAUCUUGGACAAUGGGCGCAAGCCUGAUCCAGCCAUGCCGCGUGAGUGAUGAAGGUCUUAGGAUCGUAAAGCUCUUUCGCCAGGGAUGAUAAUGACAGUACCUGGUAAAGAAACCCGGCUAACUCCGUGCCAGCAGCCGCGGUAAUACGGAGGGGGUUAGGCGUUGUUCGGAAUUACUGGGCGUAAAGCGCGCGUAGGCGGAUCAGAAAGUUGGGGGUGAAAUCCCGGGGCUCAACCCCGGAACUGCCUCCAAAACUCCUGGUCUUGAGUUCGAGAGAGGUGAGUGGAACUCCGAGUGUAGAGGUGAAAUUCGUAGAUAUUCGGAAGAACACCAGUGGCGAAGGCGGCUCACUGGCUCGAUACUGACGCUGAGGUGCGAAAGUGU
rnacentral:rRNA from 1 species